ACUCUUAUAAAAUUACAUUAAAACAGAAACAAUUCCAUAAAUAAAUAAGAGCAGUUGUGCAAUGCUCCAUUAAAAAGUAGUGACGAGUCUAUUUGGCCUUGUUUAAAAUGGAUAUUGCAGUGGGAAAUCAAACUAACAGUACAACCAGACUAAUUUCACAGCUGAAAAGCAAACAGUUGAUGUUGUGUAGAACCAUUAAUGUGUUGUUUUCGGAUAAUUAGGAGGAUGUGCACAGUUAAAAAAAGGCACCAACACAGAACAGCUGACAUCAUGCUAGCUUGUGGCAUGACAGAAGUUAGUGCUACCAGUUGACAGGCAAGCUAACCACUAAAUGGUGGUGUUUACCUGCAGCCCAGCAGUCAGUUUAACAUGAUGUGCAGCAGUUUGCUGUCCUCAUUCUGAGAAACACCUGAUUCAGCUGCACAUGAUGCAUGGAGAACCCCUUUUCACAUCAUUUCUUGUCCUGUGCCGAAUCAGCUUUACCUUGACUACGUCUGUCUGCAAGACACGUCUGAUGUAUGCUCGAGGCAUACAACGGUGUAUUUGUGGGAAUUGUGCAACAAAGCUUACAAAGUCUGAGAAUGUCUGCUGCAGGGAGAUACCACAGAUUUACUAGGUUACAAGAAGACUACAGCAGCCUCAGAACCAGCCAUCAUGCACGGUGGAUCAUCUCGGCCUAAAACCUGUGUGUUUGAAUGUGUUGUCGCUACAGAAUGCAUUCAAUAUUUAUAGAGCGGACUAUAGUCUGCAGGGGAAUAGAGCAGUAAGUAUCUUUUAUGAAUAUAAAUUGUCAAUUAUUAUUGUAAUCAGGUUGUAGCAGGUCUAGCAUUUGCAUGAAAAAUAUGGCGCACCUUUGCAAAGGUAGUUUUCUGAAGUAGGCAGCCCACAAAAAAAAACUGACUGGGUUGUUUCAGUUUGUGUGUUAGUAAACACAUCAGAGACCUAAAUGUAUGUGCACAAGCAUCAAAAAAGUGAGUUUUUCAUAAUACGUGACCUUUAAAGAUGCACUGUGUGAGUUUUUGAUCACUAGUAGUUCUAUGGAGCAAUGUUUUUAUGACUGAGUCCCUGUUUUGUUUGUAUGCAUGAGGACGCAUAUGCAGGCCCAAAGCAUGUGGGUGACAUCGUUCACUUUCCUGUCAAUGGUUUCACACUAUUCCAUUGAUCCACAGGUGGCAGUUAUGUGCCAAGAUACAAAGCAAUGUGUCGACAAAGGCAGAGACUGCUUGCAAGUUAACAUGAAUUGGAUUUAAAUAAUGACGGUUUCAAAAUUAUCAUUAAAAGUGUUUUAUGUGUUUUAUGAGGAAGGAAAUGCAUUCAACAUGAUACGUUUUGGUGAGAAACAGAAACUUUCUUUGAUUACAGUAAAACUCUGCAGUGCACCUUUAAGUCUAGAGUUGUUUUAUAUAUUUAUUAUUUUCAGCAAAUCUCAUGAAAGACCAAAACCAAAAAUAUGUUGGUCUGUCUCUCAAUACUUUAUGACUUCCCUACUCUGUCUGCGGCACACAGACCCAAGCCCACUGGUUCCCACCGAAGACUUAAAUCUUCAAAAACGGCUUUGGAUACAAACACAAUACUUAGUAGAUCAAUUAAUUGUUGGUUUUGGUCUCUUAAUCAGAUUUCUUGACGAUAAGAAAAAUAUAGAAUAUAACCAGACUUAUCCUUUACAGUUAGAAUUAUGUUAGAGUACAGAUUGAUGUUGUAGUUGUGAGCAGCUAUAAUGUCACAAGUUUAGUGCAAACAUGAAUGUGUGUGCAUGUGCAUAUAAACAUACAUACUGCAU